GCUGUGCCUCAAUGGUAGAGCCUCUGUUUUGCAAGCAGAAGGUCCCAGGUUCAGUCCUCGGCAACUCCA
rnacentral:tRNA from 1 species